UGCUUUCAUUAAUGACACAUAGUAGAGGGACUACUACACCAGUAUAAAUCAAAUCAGCUACAAUAAAUAUCAGAUCCUAGCCUUUAAGUGUAUCUUGUCAACUAUUCAGCAAACUUCCCACCAGUCAUGACUGUUCACGAACAAGAUGAAUGGAGUAAGAGUGUAUUGGACUAACAAAUUAGAAUUACAUAAAAUAUCAAUAUAUUUUAUUAUAAAUGCUCCAAAGCCUAAGCAGUAACCGAGCAUUCCAUUCAUUACUAAGUAAAAAAUUACAUAUCCUCAACAUAUAUAAUGCAAAAUGAUGGUUAUUGCUUUUUUGUUUGCUCAUAUGAUUUUCCUGCUCUACUCACUUUAUGUUAGUUGUCGGCUUUUCAUUUAGACCACAACCAUGGUAUCACUCAGACUUGGCUACUACAGAAACUAUCAAACUAAACAUGAAAGUUAAACUUCAGCUCAGGAAUUUGCAAAUUGAUUGAUGCAGACUAGCGCCACCCAACCUGCCACCCCACCUUCCCCAUCUAUCCACCCUACCCCACCCACCUCUCUUCCCAAAUGCUGUCAAGAGGAUGCAAGAGAGAGAGAGAAUUGCACCAAGUACAGCUUUCAGAUGUACAUAUUCUGUAUUACUUCCAUAUGUGCAAAUUUCUCUACACCACAACUCAAGACCGCAUGCAGUUGUGAGUACAGUAUGCACAGAAUAAAUACCCGCUAAUGUGUACCUUUUAGAUCAGUUACAAAUCAUAAGUCAACUAACCAUGUCAGGCUUGAACACAGCUU
rnacentral:misc_RNA from 1 species